rnacentral:rRNA from 1 species
CGCAAUGGACGCAAGUCUGACGGAGCAACGCCGCGUGAGGGAGGAAGUUUUUCGGAACGUAAACCUCUGUUGUUCAUGACGAACGAGCUUUUUAUCAACAACGAAGAGCAGUGACGGUAGUGAACGAGGAAGCCACGGCUAACUACGUGCCAGCAG